UCGAGAAUCUUCCGCAAUGGGCGAAGGCCUGACGGAGCGACACCGCGUGCAGGACGAAGGCCCUCGGGUUGUAAACUGCUGUCACGCUCUAGGAAUGCCAUGUCGUUAAUAGCGGCAUGGUUGACCAAGGCGAAAGGAAGUGGCGGCUAACUCUGUGCCAGCAGCCGCGGUAAGACAGAGGCCACGAACGUUGUUCGGAAUCACUGGGCAUAAAGCGCACGUAGGCGGCUAGGUCCGUCCAAUGUGAAAGCCCCCGGCUCAACCGGGGAAUUGCAUCGGAUACAGCCUGGCUUGAGGACGGUUGGGGUGAGUGGAACUCCUGGUGGAGCGGUGAAAUGCGUAGAUAUCAGGAGGAACACCGGUGGCGAAAGCGGCUCACUGGACCGUAACUGACGCUGAGGUGCGAAAGCUAGGGGAGCAAACGGGAUUAGAUACCCCUGUAGUCCCUGAGCGGGCUGGCAAGGCGCAU
rnacentral:rRNA from 1 species